UACAGAGGUCCCAAGCGUUGUUCGGAUUCACUGGGCGUAAAGGGUGCGUAGGUGGUGAGGUAAGUCGGAUGUGAAAGCUCGGAGCUCAACUCCGAAAUGGCAUUGGAAACUACCUUGCUCGAGGGUUGGAGGGGGGACUGGAAUACUUGGUGUAGCAGUGAAAUGCGUAGAUAUCAAGAGGAACACCAGUGGCGAAGGCGAGUCCCUGGACAAACCCUGACACUGAGGCACGAAAGCCAAGGGAGCAAACAGG
rnacentral:rRNA from 1 species